rnacentral:rRNA from 1 species
UACAGAGGUCCCAAGCGUUGUUCGGAUUCAUUGGGCGUAAAGGGUGCGUAGGCGGCGCGGUAAGUCGGGUGUGAAAUCUCGGGGCUUAACUCCGAAACUGCAUUCGAUACUGCCGUGCUUGAGGACUGGAGAGGAGACUGGAAUUUACGGUGUAGCGGUGAAACGCGUAGAUAUCGGGAAGAACACCCGUGGCGAAGGCGAGUCCCUGGACAACUCCUGACACUGAGGCACGAAAGCUAGGGGAGCAAACAGG